rnacentral:lncRNA from 1 species
UCCAAAGAGUGCUGCCUCCUCUAAGAGAACCCUAAGACAUGGGAGUUUCUGCUCUCAUAGCACCCCAAAGAGGAGCAGCACGGACAGCCAGGUGUCCCGGCCUGAGGAAAUCACAGCCUGAGCUAUGCUGGCUGCAACAGACAAAGACAGGAGCCUGUCAGGCCUUCUGUUAUGGAACUUGCAUUGACGGUCCCGACCUCUGGGUGUGGAGAUCUGUACCUGCAUUUGUGACAUGCAUCUGUCUUCCCCAGAUGCUCGGAGCUGAGUACUGGACCCUGCUUCGAAAGCAGACCCUCCAUGAGAGGCUGCUGAGAACAGAGCUCUCGACUCUAGGACUAACAGCAACUUCGUUAAAUCUUCCUUACGCUGCAGGCCAAUCUUAGACACUUUCAUCCAAACUGAUUUCCUUUCCCACCAUCUUCCCUUAGAGUCUGACGUGCUCCAUGGCCAGACAGCUCCUGCCCUGUCGACUCUGGCCCAUUUUCCUCCAGGUGUUUCUCCUAUUAACGUGUCUGGUGUCUGCUUGGGAAGGAUCCAGAACACAACAUAUGUGUUCACAUGUGAUUAAGGGCACUGUCUGAUGAUAACAAGCCAUGUUAGGAAUAUGACAAAUUUUUCACAAAAAAAUAAAUGAUUUUUAACCAAGAAGUAUACUUGUCAUGUAAGCAAUCAAAAUCAGUAUGCUUUGGCAGCUCUCAAAAGCACUAUUUAAAUUGGUCAAUGAAUGCAGGAUUUCAUGUUUAAUUUGUAAAAAACCUAAAACACUUUUUUAACAGCUUAUUUUAUUUGUUCAUAAUAGGAAUAAAUGCUGGAUGCUUUUUUUCAUUUAUACUGCCUUAGGUGCUAUUUCCUCUACUUAUGCAUUGCAUCAGUUUUGCCAUGAUUGGCUGACAACCUCUCUCCAUGGGGCUUUUUGGAGUUGUCACAGUGUAGAAAGACUGAUUAAACUCCUACAAGUAGACACAAGCAAAAGACACUGAUUGUGCUAAGAACAUCAAGGGUUUAAGACCAGAUCUCUGAGCAGGCAGGCAGGGGGAUGCAGCAGAAACUCCCCGAAGGAGCAAUGCCAUGGCCCUCCAGUCUCCCCUCCAGUCUCUGCUGCUAACUUGAUGAAGAUCUCAGCCAGCCUUUUGCUGUGUUUCUUGCCUGUAAUCUCAGAUGAUCUUCACAUCCUCCUGACUUCUCUCAGCUCUCUGGGAGAGUUUAGCAGUUGCCUGCUUGCUUGCCUACUGUAAAAAACAAAAGCAAAAACAAAAAAACUAAUUCCUGAAUGUUUCCUAGAAAGGGUGAGCUAAUGCUCAGCUUCUUGCUGGGCAAACUUCCCCCUAACAUCUCUGCAUUCCGGCUUCACUUUCUGCCAUUUCUUUGCAGGCUGCUGUCUGCACCAUCGCUUCUGCCCCCAGAGCGGGUUGAGUCCCAUCUGUACGGGGCAUACUGAUGUUGGGGGGCAUUGUCCCAAGAUUUCCACAAUGCAGCAAGGUAUGACUUUACUCCAAAUGAGCUCACAAAGAAGCCGAGGUCUUUCUUAAAGUACACAUAUUAUACUCCCUGCAUCAAAACUCUCCAUCUAUCUCUUAUUUGCAGAUGAUCAGAGUCAUCCUGAAAAACCUGGGAUAUUUAAAUCAUUCAGAAUAAUUAUAAUUACUUUUCCCCUGAUUGAGAAAAUAAAAUCUUCUCUUCAGUAGCUUCAAAAUUACAGAAGACAUUUUUUGAAGUCAUUUGCAAGAAACUUCAACCAAGUCUCUUUAAUCAGUCCCUCACUUACCCUUCUGAAUUUGGACCCUGGACCAGUAAGGAGUUGUGCCCUGAAGGCAAGGAUGCAAUGAUUACUCGUCUGCUAUAAGGGCUGCAUCCUCGUGGUAACGAUGAACAAGGAGCAAGUAGUAUUUGGAGGAUCGUGUAAGAGUUUUCAUAGAAGUCUCAGGAAGGCCAUCUGAGGGCUGGCGGGGUGCAGCAGAGGAGACCAGCCAGGUAGACACAGAAACAUGGCACUGGUGCAGCAGUGUCACUGUGAGUAGUUGCAGAAUAAGAGGAGAACAUUGGGAAGCAGCCACAAAGGAGGAGAACAGAGAGUAAUGAGGUCAUAACAGGCCUUAUUCCCGUGAAAAGUAUUUUGCUACUUAUUUGAUGAUAAUGGUUUAUUGAACCAUUUGAAGCAAUAACUUGAUUCUAAAUAUAAUAUGUAAGUGACAAGU